CCAUCCACCCACUCCCCUGCCGCCCCCACCCCCGCACCAUGGCCAUCGACGGUGAGGAGCCCGAGUCCCCACGCCUCCCCGCCCUCAAGUGGCUCUCCCGCCACGGCCACAUCGGGCCUUUCGGAUCCGCGCGCGUUGUAGAGUUGGAUCCGCGCCUCCUCGCGUAGCCGCUGUCUCCCCGAUCUAGAUCGACGCCACCAGCCUCUCAUCCUCGUCUGCCGAGCGCCGCCACCACCCUCGCCUUCUUCCGCGACUACCUCCCCCCGCUACCGCAUCCGCCAAGCCCGUCCCCUUCCUCCCCUCGGUCCAAAUCCUCCUCCUAUCAUGAUUCCCUCUAUCCCAACACCGACGCCGUCGCCUCUCCCGCAUGCCUGUCAUCCACCACUGCUGCACCCACCCUCUCCCCUUCUCAAUCUCGAUCCAGUCAGGCGCGUGCAGAUCCGAGGAGAUUUGGGCUCCUGAGGUGAAUGAUUUCAUCUUGAUUUCCGACAGCGCCUACACCCGGGAGCAGAUUCUGAAGAUGGAGAAGGCCAUCUUGAUCGCCGGCCUCCCUCGCCCGGGAAGAUGACGGAGAACCACCGCUUUUGGGACAAAUGACAACCACGACGGCUGCGGCACCAGCAGCGCAAUGGAGAUGGAGGCCAGCCGCGUCGGUUGGAUCCCAUCCCGUCCACCCCCCUUUCUCAGCGGGGCGUGGCACUCCAAGACCUCGUGGCUGCGGUGGCCCUUGAAGAUGGCGAGGUAGGAGACGCCUGAUCUGCAGCGUCUGCGGUGGCCCUUGGACCUAGACGCCCAAGAUCACGCUUGCAGCCUGUUGUGCGCCUGGCCGUGGCAAGUGGAAGGAGGCAGAGGCAGGGGUAGAUACCACGGGAUGGACGAGGAGCUGGAGUCGUCCUCGCUGCCGGUGCUGCACAAGAUGAGACCAGGAAAUGAAAGAUCGCUCGACAAACGGCCGCUUCCAGUCAGUUGGAUCUGAUCUUAUACCCGCACACGAGAGCUACCGGAGCAGCAGCAGAUUAACAAGGACCCAAGCUAGACUCCCAAGUUCUUCGGCUCAAGGCGCUAAGGUGUUGGAGACGUGCCUGUACUUGUUGAGCGUUUUAUCUGUAGAGUGCUAUAUUGUGAUUGGUGUAAUAUUGUAUGGUUAUAUUGUGAUUGGUGAAAUGUAAUAAACUUGAUUGAUAUAUUGGUGAUUUGGUUGUUAUUUGAAUAUAUUUAAAAUGUGUUCUCUGAUUGGUA